GUCCACGCCUUAAACGAUGGAUGCUAGCCGUCAGCAAGCAUGCUUGUUGGUGGCGCAGCUAACGCAUUAAGCAUCCCGCCUGGGGAGUACGGCCGCAAGGUUAAAACUCAAAGGAAUUGACGGGGGCCCGCACAAGCGGUGGAGCAUGUGGUUUAAUUCGACGCAACGCGAAGAACCUUACCAGUCCUUGACAUUUUCCGGACGGUUUCCAGAAACGGAUUCCUCCUAGCAAUAGGUCGGAGAACAGGUGCUGCAUGGCUGUCGU
rnacentral:rRNA from 1 species